GAUGAACGCUGGCGGCGUGCCUAAUACAUGCAAGUCGAGCGAACAGAUGAGGAGCUUGCUCCUCUGACGUUAGCGGCGGACGGGUGAGUAACACGGGGAUAAGCUACCUAGAAGACUGGGAUAACGUCGGGAAAGCGGAGCUAAUACAGGAGAAUAUAGGGAACCGCAUGGUUCAAUAGUGAAAGACGGUUUUGCUGUCACUUAUAGAUGGAUCAGCGCCUCAUUAGCUAGUUGGUAAGGUAACGGCUUACCAAGGAAACGAUGCGUAGCCGACCUGAGAGGAUGACCGGCCACACUGGAACUGAGACACGGUCCAGACUCCUACGGGAGGCAGCAGUAGGGAAUCUUCCGCAAUGGGCGAAAGCCUGACCGAGCAACGCCGCGUGAGUGAUGAAGGUCUUCGGAUCGUAAAACUCUGUUAUUAGGGAAGAACACCUGUGUACGUAACUAUUCACGUCUUGACGGUACCUAAUCAGAAAGCCCCGGCUAACUACGUG
rnacentral:rRNA from 1 species